rnacentral:lncRNA from 1 species
CUGGCCUUCUUCCUACCCUUGUGGUGAAGUGUGCAAGUAUGAAUCCUCAAUGUUGUGGGUUCGAAGGCUGGUAUGCUCAGUGUUGUGGAUAGCACUACCCUGGAAAUAUAUUAUCACACACACAUACACACAACCAUGUUCAUCCUCUCCAAUGAGGUAUUACAAAAUACCUCUGUUUUUUAAUAGGGGCUUUUAGACUUUACCUUUAUCAUUACCUUUAAUUUCUCCUUCUACAUAUUGCUUCUUUUUCAACUUGGGUUUUAAUCUAACUGAACAAGAGCAUGAGCUAUCAACAUAGUAAUGGACUUUAGGGCGAUUGUAAUUUCCAAAAUAGAUGACGACGCGAAUCCGUGGCAAUUGGUUGUAUCCAUUUUAUAUUAACGUAGCUUUCGGGUCAUGUAAUGUAUACUAGGCACUCAAAUACCUAUGUUGUUAUGUAUACUCAUAUUUUCACUUUCGUCUGCUUCCAUAAUUUUCUUUGUAGUUUCGUUUAUCCUUCAUAGUUAACUCUUCUAUUUAUUUGUGCAUAUAUUUCUAUUUGAAGCCCAAAUUGGAAGAAUUUAUACCUCACUUCACAUAUUGGUCUAACAAUGUUAAGGGAAUGGAACUACAAAAACAAUAGUGCAACAAAAAAAGUAAGAUCGAAUUUGAAAAUGCGAGUAAAUUACAGUAACAAAUAGUGCAAGUUGCCAAUUGUCAAACACAAAACCGGAUAUUUUGAAGCCCAGAUAACCCGAUGCAAGUGCAACAAUGGAUGGCCCAAAUCCGAAUGGGGAAAAAUGACAAAUUGUUUUCUUUUACACAUGUUUGCACUGGCUUUCUUCCUAGCCUUGUGGUUGAAUGCUCCAGCAUGGAAACCCAAGGUUUUGGCUUCGAAAGCUGGUACUGGAGAUUUGAGGUGAGGAGAUCAUGAAAUUGUUAUAAAAAAUGGUCCCUGAAACUAAAUUGAAUGAGGUAUUCUAAAAUACCUCUGUUUUUCUGCAUAUUUUAUGUUAAAACGAUGCUUCAUACACUUUAUACCCAAAUCUUUACUCUUCCUUCUUUUUUACCCGCUCUAUCUUUCAUAUGUUGUUCUUCAACCCCAAACAACCAUCAUUUCCCACCUCCUUCCUCUACCUAACUACCUCAUAAUCCAUUUCAAUCACAACCUUUUUAUCAGAUCCACGAGUUUCGAUCCAAAGGGAAGCACCUGUUUCAUUUCUCACUUCCACUACCCCUCGCCCGAAGGGUAUUUUGCAUACCUUCUUUUUGUGUUUAGAUGUACUUGCAGGAGUGCGAAGGUGAGUCGGAUCUGAUGAAUCCCCUUCCAUGUGACUUGAGUGACAAAAUUUGGUAGUGGUGUAACUCUCAGUGCAGGUUUGAAGUUUUUAUGUUGCGAUGUCCUGUUCCAAUUAAACACUUGGUUGUUUUCUCCAUCGUGGCUACCUUGGUGGUUGAUGACAAGACGUUCGUGGCGGCAGUGCUAAGCCUUUGAAAGAUAGAGAUAAGGUUUCUAUUUUGUUUGUUUGUUUUGGUUAUUGAGAUAGGUUUGUUUUGCCCUUGGGUUUUCCCAAUUUUUUGAGUUGCUUGCCAAGAAAGAAAAUGUAUUAAAAAUUCAAAUGUACUAUAGAAUCAAAUGUACCCAUAUGGUAAGUAAUCAAAUGUAAUAGUGUAAUUAAACGCAAUGUUUAAAAAUCGACCUAGGCAGGCAGCCGUCUAGGCACUGAGUGUUCAAUUUCCACCACGAUUAACUCCGAAUCGUUCACAAAAUCGGAAAACAUAUUAGGCGAUAUGAUUAUUUAUAUUUUCUUCUUGGUUCAUGGGCUGAGUUUAAUUUGUUUAUUAUUAUUUCUCCUUGGUUCCUGGCUUCCUGCGCUUGAGUCUUAAAGUGUUUACUUCGAUGAACCGGUGGAUAUUUGAGCCUUAAGGCUUAAGCCAUGUCCUGCUGACAUGAAUAUUUGAUUACAAAAAGAAAAGAAAAAAAGAGCGUUUCAAAUUAGCUAGGAGUUUUAUCCAAACAAGUUAAGUUAAAUUGUAAUUUACACCAAUUAAAAAAUCCUACAUGCAUGGAAUUUCAUGUCAGAAUUAACUCUUAGCGUUUUUAAAAACCUUAAUCAAAUCAUCUUUAAUAAAAUUGUAGAAAAAAAAAUGUUUAAUCAAAUUCUUAAAAAGAAUAGAUGUUUAAUCAACGAAAUUGAAAAACGAGAUACCUAUAUCAAAAAGCUCUUAUUUUUAUUUAGAAUACAUUUUAUCAUAACACCGUAAGAAGAAAAAAAACAUGUAUCUUAAUUUGAAGCCACUCCUCUCCAAAUACAGUUAGCAGUUAGCAGUUAGCAAGUACUUGUCAUUUUAGUUUCUUGAGAACUACCCAAUGGAAGAGACAAUAUUUUAUUAGCCCAGAAGACUUCAAACAAGAAAUGAAUGAGCCAAAAUCCACCCGUUUUUACUCACAUAUAAGUUUCUUUUACCCGUUGUUUCACUGGCCUUCUUCCUACCAUUGUGGUGAAGUGUGGAAGCAUGAAUCCUCAUUGUUGUGGGUUCGAAGGCUGGUAUCCGCAAUGGAAGUAUGAUCAUACACAUACACAAAUCCUUGUUCUUCCAAUCCAAUGAGGUAUUACAAAAUACCUCUGUUUUUAGGGGCUUUGGAUUUUAUAUUUUUACCUUUAAUUUCUCCUUGUACAUAAUGCUUCUUUUUCAAGUUGAGUUUGAAUCCUAUGUAAAAAAAAUGCUUGAGUUUUAAUCUAACUGUACAAGAGCAUGAGCUCUAGUAAUUGUAAUGGAGUUUAAGGCGAUUGUAAUUUACCAAAAUAGAUGAGGAGGCGAAUACAUGUCAAUUGGUUGGGCUCGAUGAGUUCCAUAUAUUUGUGUUAAUUUAUGUAUUACUGCAAGUUUCGAGUCAUGUAAUGUAUAUUUCGUAUUAAAACAUUUAUGUUUCAAUGAUUUUCUUUUCACCUACUUACUACGUACUAAAAUACCUUGGUUUGUUAGGUAUACUCAUAUUUUCACUUUCUUUUACUUCUAUAGUUUUCUUUGUAGUUUCAUUCCAUUUGUGCAUAUAUUCUCAUUUGAAGCCCAAAUUGGAAGAAUUAAUGCCCCAGUUGACAUAUUAGACUAACAAACAAAUAUUGUAAGUUGCAAAUUUCCAAACACAAAAUCGGAGAUUUUGAAGCACAAAUGACUGAAACACAAGGUGCAAGUGCAACAAUGGCCAAUGGGUGGCCCAAAUCCAAAUGGUGGAAAACGUGUAAAUUGUUUUAUUUUACACCCUAUUUUCACCGGCUUUCUACCUAGCACUGUGGUUAAAUUCUCCAGCAUGAACACCCACGAUUAUGGGUUCGAAAGCUGGUACUGGAGACUCGAUGCUGAGGAGACAAGGAUAGUACUAUUCAUACACACAUUCUCUCAAUAUGAAAUUGCUAUCAUAAAUGGUCUCUGAAAUUAAGUAACAUGAAGUAUUCUGAAAUACCUCUUCUUUUUGCAUAUUUUUAUAUAUCGAAAACAGAUACUACUAUUUACACACAUUUUUUUUUACCUUUCACACACCACCCUUGUCAACUUUUUGUUAUUGAUAUUUUUCAAUUCAUUCGAUCCGACGGCCAAAAACAGUGCUUUCAAACUUUAAUUCUUCCUCCCUUUUAAUCAUUUCUUUCAACUGUUUGAGUUUUAAUUAUAUAUGUUUAUAUUUAAGAGGUGAUUUUGGCCUGACUACUUCAUAAGGCAUUUGGAUGACCAUUUGCAGAAAAUUACUGGAUCCACUUAUUCCUUUUCGUUAUUCUGGUUUUGACUUGCAUUUACGUAUCCGGUGAAGAAUUUCAUAUUUGUUUGCCUUCGAAUAAUAUAUAAAACAAAGUAAAUAGGAGGCAAAUGAGUACUUAUUCUGGUUGGUCUGGUUGUUGGUAUAUGUUUUUCUCAUCUCCUCGCUUCUAAACUGGUGGAUGUUUUUUAAAUCCACUACUCUCAUUUGAGCAUACCCACAAAUGCAAUGACCCAAUAGUUUUUUCUUGCAUUUUUUUCAAGUAAAAGAACAUUGCAAUGAGGAUCCGCAGAGGAUUCUAUUACCAAACAUGUUAAAAUUUAACCUAGGAACUAUUACAUGGAAAAAUUAUUCAACGAUAUACAAGAUUGACAUAGUUGUGUCCUAACAUAGCAAAACCAUGGGCUGACAUGUUAGCCUCUUGAAAACACAAUUUAUUAUAUAGUUAGGAAUUUGAUGCAUUAGGUCUCAGUCAGAAUUAGCGGUGGUGGCGGGCGGUACGGCGUCGGAGGAAGGGCGCGAGAAGAGGGAGAGAAGAAAUAA